UACAGAGGUGGCAAGCGUUGUUCGGAAUUACUGGGCGUAAAGGGCGCGUAGGCGGCCUUGUCAGUCAGUUGUGAAAUCCCCAGGCUUAACUUGGGAAUGGCGUCUGAUACUACAAGGCUCGAGUGCGGGAGAGGGAUGUGGAAUUCCAGGUGUAGCGGUGAAAUGCGUAGAUAUCUGGAGGAACACCGGUGGCGAAGGCGGCAUCCUGGACCGACACUGACGCUGAGGCGCGAAAGCCAGGGGAGCAAACGGGAUUAGAAACCCG
rnacentral:rRNA from 1 species